rnacentral:rRNA from 1 species
UACGGGGGGGGGCAAGCGUUGUUCGGAAUUACUGGGCGUAAAGGGCUCGUAGGCGGCCAACUAAGUCAGACGUGAAAUCCCUCGGCUUAACCGGGGAACUGCGUCUGAUACUGGAUGGCUAGAGUUUGGGAGAGGGAAGUGGAAUUCCCGGUGUAGUGGUGAAAUGCGCAGAUAUCAGGAGGAACACCGGUGGCGAAGGCGGGUCUCUGGGCCGUAACUGACGCUGAGGAGCGAAAAGCGUGGGGAGCGAACAGG